rnacentral:rRNA from 1 species
CCUACGGGAGGCAGCAGUGGGGAAUAUUGCACAAUGGGGGAAACCCUGAUGCAGCAACGCCGCGUGAAGGAAGACGGUUUUCGGAUUGUAAACUUCUGUUCUCAGUGAAGAAUAAUGACGGUAGCUAAGGACCAAGCCACGGCUAACCACGUGCCAGCAGCCGCGGCAAUACGCAGGCGGCAAGCGUUGUCCGGAAUUACUGGGUGUAAAGGGAGCGCAGGCGGGAAGCCAAGUCAGCUGUGAAAACUACGGGCUUAACUUGUAAACUGCAGUUGAAACUGGUUUUCUUGAGUGAAGUAGAGGUUGGCGGAAUUCCGGGUGUAGGAGUGAAAUGCGUAGAUAUUCGGAGGAACACCGGUGGCGAAGGCGACCAACUGG